rnacentral:rRNA from 1 species
AGUAACACGUGGGCAACCUGCCCUCAGCUCUGGGAUAACUCCAAGAAAUUGGGGCUAAUACCGGAUAUGACUGCUGACCGCAUGGUCUGGUGGUGGAAAGAUUUAUCGGCUGGGGAUGGGCCCGCGGCCUAUCAGCUUGUUGGUGGGGUAGUGGCCUACCGAGGCGACGACGGGUAGCCGGCCUGAGAGGGUGACCGGCCACACUGGGACUGAGACACGGCCCAG